UACGGGGGGAGCAAGCGUUGUUCGGAUUUACUGGGCGUAAAGGGCGCGUAGGCGGUCAGCACAAGUCAGUUGUGAAAUCUCCGAGCUUAACUCGGAAAGGUCAACUGAUACUGUGCGACUAGAGUGCGGAAGGGGCUACUGGAAUUCUCGGUGUAGCGGUGAAAUGCGUAGAUAUCGAGAGGGAACACCUGGCGGCGAAGGCGGGUAGCUGGGCCGACACUG
rnacentral:rRNA from 1 species